rnacentral:rRNA from 1 species
GAUGAACGCUGGCGGCGUGCCUAAUACAUGCAAGUAGAACGCUGAAGCUUGGUGCUUGCCCCGAGCGGAUGAGUUGCGAACGGGUGAGUAACGCGUAGGUAACCUGCCUGGUAGCGGGGGAUAACUAUUGGAAACGAUAGCUAAUACCGCAUGACAACAGUUAUUGCAUGAUAACUGUUUAAAAGGGGCAAUUGCUCCACUACCAGAUGGACCUGCGUUGUAUUAGCUAGUUGGUGAGGUAACGGCUCACCAAGGCGACGAUACAUAGCCGACCUGAGAGGGUGAUCGGCCACACUGGGACUGAGACACGGCCCAGACUCCUACGGGAGGCAGCAGUAGGGAAUCUUCGGCAAUGGACGGAAGUCUGACCGAGCAACGCCGCGUGAGUGAAGAAGGUUUUCGGAUCGUAAAGCUCUGUUGUAAGAGAAGAACGAGUGUGAGAGUGGAAAGUUCACACUGUGACGGUAUCUUACCAGAAAGAGACGGCUAACUACGUG